rnacentral:misc_RNA from 1 species
AGAGAAAAAUUAGGAAUAUCAGAGGGUGUAUGCUAUGGAAUAUUUUAAGGAAUUGUUUCUAAAAGCAUCUUAGUAGCACUGAUUUGAUAAAAUCAUGUGCACCAAAUAGGUUAGAGGAAACUUUUGGCACAGCAGCUUUAACUUUUGAAGUUUAACUUAAUAUUAUUUGAAGAAAAUCAAUGCUUGAAAUAUAUGAGAACCCAGAAUAAAUUGAUAACAGUGCUGGAAACUGACAGAACUGACUCCAGGACAACUUUUUGCAAACCUCAUUCUUAAGGGAUGAAUACAAUGGCCCACUUGGCCUACUACCUAAGCCCUUAUGAGGAAGAAGAAAUAAAAAUGUUCCAUAGCAUCUGUGAAGUAGCCAAAUCUUUCCUUGCUUUGUUGAACACUCGCAAGCAUCCCAAACAAAUCAACUACCAGCAUAAUCCGUGAAAGUCAAGUACUUUUGGAUUUAUUGAUUUGUAUUCCAGUUUUUAUUUAUUGGAUUUGUAUUCCAGAUUGUUACUGCUUUUCUAUACAUCUGAAAGUCUUAUACUCCCCAUUUUUGUUGCAGGGCAUCUUUUGGAAAUUUGAA